GACAUUUCAGCACGAGUGGUCUAAGGCGCCAGAUUUAGGCUCUGGUCCGAAAGGGCGUGGGUUCAAAUCCCACAGCUGUCA
rnacentral:tRNA from 1 species